ACGGAAGGCAGCAGUGGGGAAUAUUGCACAAUGGGGGAAACCCUGAUGCAGCGACGCCGCGUGAGUGAAGAAGUUAUUCGUAAUGUAAAGCUCUAUCAGCAGGGAAGAAAAUGACGGUACCUGACUAAGAAGCCCCGGCUAACUACGUGCCAGCAGCCGCGGUAAUACGUAGGGGGCGAGCGUUAUCCGGAUUUACUGGGUGUAAAGGGAGCGUAGACGGUCUAGCAAGUCUGAUGUGAAAGGCAGGGGCUCAACUCCUGGACUGCAUUGGAAACUGUUAGUCUUGAGUGUCGGAGAGGUAAGCGGAAUUCCUAGUGUAGCGGUGAAAUGCGUAGAUAUUAGGAGGAACACCAGUGGCGAAGGCGGCUUACUGGACGAUAACUGACGUUGAGGCUCGAAAGCGUGGGGAGCAAACAGGAUUAGAUACCCUGGUA
rnacentral:rRNA from 1 species